rnacentral:tRNA from 1 species
GCGACGGUGAUGCAACCGGUAGACAUCUGCGGCUCAGAACCACAGUCCUGCGAGUUCGAGUCUCGCACUGUGCACCA